AAAUUCGUAGCGCAUCUGAUUUCAAAUCAGAAAGUUGUGUGUUUGAUUCAUGUCGGAUCUA
rnacentral:tRNA from 1 species